rnacentral:rRNA from 1 species
AGAGUUUGUUCCUGGCUCAGGACGAACGCUGGCGGCGUGCCUAACACUUGCAAGUCGAACGGAACUUCUUUAAAGGAUUUCUUCGGAAUGAAUUUGAUUAAGUUUAGUGGCGGACGGGUGAGUAACGCGUGAGUAACCUGCCUCUAAGAGGGGAAUAACAUUCUGAAAAGAAUGCUAAUACCGCAUAAUAUAUAUUUAUCGCAUGGUAGAUAUAUCAAAGAUUUAUCGCUUAGAGAUGGACUCGCGUCCGAUUAGUUAGUUGGUGAGGUAACGGCUCACCAAGACCGCGAUCGGUAGCCGGACUGAGAGGUUGAACAGCCACAUUGGGACUGAGACACGGCCCAGACUCCUACGGGAGGCAGCAGUGGGGGAUAUUGCGCAAUGGGGGAAACCCUGACGCAGCAACGCCGCGUGAAGGAUGAAGGUCUUCGGAUUGUAAACUUCUUUUAUUAAGGACGAAGAAAGUGACGGUACUUAAUGAAUAAGCUCCGGCUAACUACGUGCCAGCAGCCGCGGUAAUACGUAGGGAGCAAGCGUUGUCCGGAUUUACUGGGUGUAAAGGGUGCGUAGGCGGCUUUGCAAGUCAGAUGUGAAAUCUAUGGGCUCAACCCAUAGCCUGCAUUUGAAACUGCAGAGCUUGAGUGAAGUAGAGGCAGGCGGAAUUCCCCGUGUAGCGGUGAAAUGCGUAGAGAUGGGGAGGAACACCAGUGGCGAAGGCGGCCUGCUGGGCUUUAACUGACGCUGAGGCACGAAAGCGUGGGUAGCAAACAGGAUUAGAUACCCUGGUAGUCCACGCUGUAAACGAUGAU